rnacentral:rRNA from 1 species
AACGUAGGAGACGAACGUUAUCCGGAGUUACUGGGCGUAAAGGGCGUGUAGGCGGUUUGUUAAGUCUGGCGUGAAAGCUCUCGGCUAAACCGGGAGAGGUCGUUGGAUACUGGCGAACUAGAGGAUGGUAGAGGCGUGUGGAAUUCCGGGUGUAGUAGUGAAAUGCGUAGAGAUCCGGAGGAACACCAGUGGCGAAGGCGACACGCUGGGCCAUACCUGACGCUAAAGCGCGACAGCAUGGGGAGCAAAACGGG